AUGUUAAUAACUUAAAUAUUAAAGUUUUAUAUUCUUAGUAUAAAUAUGGUUUUACCUUAACAUG
rnacentral:tRNA from 1 species